UGGGGAAUCUUGCGCAAUGGGCGAAAGCCUGACGCAGCGACGCCGCGUGAGGGAAGAAGGCCUUCGGGUUGUAAACCUCUUUCAGGAGGGACGAAGCUACUCGGGUGAACAGCCCAGAGGGUGACGGUACCUCCAGAAGAAGCCCCGGCUAACUACGUGCCAGCAGCCGCGGUAAUACGUAGGGGGCAAGCGUUGUCCGGAUUUACUGGGCGUAAAGAGCGUGUAGGCGGCCUCACAGGUCCGUUGUGAAAACUGAAGGCUUAACCUUCAGACGUCGACGGAAACCGUGUGGCUAGAGUCCGGAAGAGGAGAGUGGAAUUCCUGGUGUAGCGGUGAAAUGCGCAGAUAUCAGGAAGAACACCAAUGGCGAAGGCAGCUCUCUGGGACGGUACUGACGCUGAGACGCGAAAGCGUGGGGAGCGAAACAGGAUUAGGAUACCCCUGGUAGUCCACGCCGUAAACGAUGGGUGCUAGGUGUGGGAGGUGUCGACUCUUCCGUGCCGCAGCUAACG
rnacentral:rRNA from 1 species